ensembl:lncRNA
AGAGUCCAGUGUUUCCUCCCUUUGGUUGCAUCUGCCCUAUGCCAUUUAUAGUGCACUACCUAUGGGAUUCCCUAUUGGCCCUGGUCAAAAGUAGUGCACUACCUAUGUGAUUCCCUAUUGGCCCUGGUCAAAAGUAGUGCACUACCUAUGGGAUUCCCUAUUGGCCCUGGUCAAAAGUAGUGCACUACCUAUGGGAUUCCCUAUUGGUCCUGGUCAAAAGUAGUGCACUACCUAUGGGAUUCCCUAUUGGCCCUGGUCAAAAGUAGUGCACUAUAAAGGGGACAGGUUUCCAUUUGGGAUGCGUAGUUUGUAUAGAUCCCCACUGUAUGGUAUUAUGUCUGUUUGUUUGGCACUUGUAUGUAAUUGUAUGCCUUUGUUAUACAUUUGUAUAUUGAGAAGAAGAGUGAUUUGAGUCAAGCUAUUGAAUAUCUUCCACUGUUCAUAAUAACGUGUACUUUUGUGUACAGGCAGUCGUACUGUUUCAACGUGUAGUUUCAUUAGUGUACAUAGUGAGGAGGGUCGACGCAUGUAUGUUGUUUUCCCCGUUCAUUUCUCAUUAUGGUCCUCACUGGGGGGACAAGGGCUUGCGUCCCAAAUGGAUCCCUAUGGGCCCUGGUCAAAAGUAGUGCACUAUAUAGGGAAUAGGGUGCCAUUUGGGUACAAGGUUUAUUUGGUUCUUCAUUUGUUUUUUUGUUUACUUUUUUGUUCUGAGGUUUUCAGAAAAAAUGUUUUUUUCCUAGACUGGUUAUUUGCUUUGUUCUCUGUCUUGGCUUGUUAAUUAGUUUUUUUUUGUGUGUGUUGUUUUUACGUUAGCUUGUGCUUGUAUCAGAAGCAUACCCUAUGAGCACAAGAUGUUGAAAAUACAUUAUUUUUGGUUGAUGUCUUUUCAACCCGAUUUUGCUCACUGGGUUUAGCGGUUUUGAAAAGACGGUUCUGGUAUUUUCCAACUUGUACAGUUUCACAGACCUCUAUGGAAUGGUCUGGGAGAGAGAGAGAGAGAGAGUGAUAAAGCUUAUGAAAAAAAAACUCUAUAGUAUUUAUUAGGCCCGUCAGAAAAUGGGCAUUCAUACAUGUGUAAUUUAUUGUACAAAUGUAAGCAAAAAAAAGUAAAGAAAAAAGAAGCCUCUGUUUGAAAUAAAUGCCAUAGUUUGAACUUCAUUGUAUUGUCUUUGGUCUGGUGGAAAUGUCACAUGCCAUGUUAUCUGCUCAACACGCACGUCUCUAGAUUUACUUGUAACGGCUGUAAUCUGUGGAUAAUGUGGUUGCCUUACCCACCUUCGUUGAAUGCACUGGCCCUGGAGAGUCUGCCAAAAUGUAUUAUGGUCAACUCUAACAUUGAGAAGGAAUGAUUUGAUGACUGUACUUGGUAGUAGUGUACUUAUACUACAGUAAUAACAAAAUAAAUAAUUUCAGUAACUGAAAAUAAAUGGCAAAUCCACUUGCC